CAAGCGCCACUCUCGGAGAGGGCGCCCACUCCAACGCCCGCUCCGCAGCCGUAGUGCGCAGGCGCUGAGCUCGAAGUCCUCACCCGCACCCUCUCCCAAGACCCGAACAGAAGCUUUCUCCGUCUUCACUUCCUUUACAUCAAAGCCCUUUCGCCAUUCCCUGCCUCAAUGCGCAGGCGCCAGAGAUAGACCAUCUUCUCCGUUUCCCUCCAACUCCCCGUCACCCCCAGCCCCAGACCAAGCACGCAAACGCAGCAAGUGAAAAGAACAAUCUGAACUUGAAGUCAGAAGACGAGCUGAAAUCCUAGAAAUCAUUUACCAUCUGAUAAACUUAGGCAAAUCACUUAA